UUGCUACGGCAGCACGUAUGCUAAAAUUGGAACGAUACAGAGAAGAUUAGCACGGCCCCUGCGCAAGGACGGCACGCAAAAUCGUGUAGGUCCUGGGGGUAGAGCUUUGU
ensembl:snRNA U6 U6 spliceosomal RNA